rnacentral:rRNA from 1 species
GAAGCGAACCGGGGGAACUGAAACAUCUAAGUACCCCGAGGAAAAGAAAUCAACCGAGAUUCCCCCAGUAGCGGCGAGCGAACGGGGAGCAGCCCAGAGUCUGAAUCAGCAUGUGUGUUAGUGGAAGCGUCUGGAAAGUCGCACGAUACAGGGUGAAAGUCCCGUACACAAAAGUGCAUGUGUUGUGAACUCGAAGAGUAGGGCGGGACACGUGGUAUCCUGUCUGAAUAUGGGGGGACCAUCCUCCAAGGCUAAAUACUCCUGACUGACCGAUAGUGAACCAGUACCGUGAGGGAAAGGCGAAAAGAACCCCGGCGAGGGGAGUGAAAAAGAACCUGAAACCGUGUACGUACAAGCAGUGGGAGCACCCUUUGGGGUGUGACUGCGUACCUUUUGUAUAAUGGGUCAGCGACUUAUAUUCUGUAGCAAGGUUAACCGAAUAGGGGAGCCGAAGGGAAACCGAGUCUUAACUGGGCGUUAAGUUGCAGGGUAUAGACCCGAAACCCGGUGAUCUAGCCAUGGGCAGGUUGAAGGUUGGGUAACACUAACUGGAGGACCGAACCGACUAAUGUUGAAAAAUUAGCGGAUGACUUGUGGCUGGGGGUGAAAGGCCAAUCAAACCGGGAGAUAGCUGGUUCUCCCCGAAAGCUAUUUAGGUAGCGCCUCGUGAAUUCAUCUUCGGGGGUAGAGCACUGUUUCGGCUAGGGGGUCAUCCCGACUUACCAACCCGAUGCAAACUGCGAAUACCGAAGAAUGUUAUCACGGGAGACACACGGCGGGUGCUAACGUCCGUCGUGAAGAGGGAAACAACCCAGACCGCCAGCUAAGGUCCCAAAGUCAUGGUUAAGUGGGAAACGAUGUGGGAAGGCACAGACAGCCAGGAUGUUGGCUUAGAAGCAGCCAUCAUUUAAAGAAAGCGUAAUAGCUCACUGGUCGAGUCGGCCUGCGCGGAAGAUGUAACGGGGCUAAACCAUGCACCGAAGCUGCGGCAGCGACACUAUGUGUUGUUGGGUAGGGGAGCGUUCUGUAAGCCGUUGAAGGUGUACUGUGAGGUAUGCUGGAGGUAUCAGAAGUGCGAAUGCUGACAUAAGUAACGAUAAUGCGGGUGAAAAACCCGCACGCCGGAAGACCAAGGGUUCCUGUCCAACGUUAAUCGGGGCAGGGUGAGUCGACCCCUAAGGCGAGGCCGAAAGGCGUAGUCGAUGGGAAACAGGUUAAUAUUCCUGUACUUGGUGUUACUGCGAAGGGGGGACGGAGAAGGCUAUGUUAGCCGGGCGACGGUUGUCCCGGUUUAAGCAUGUAGGCGGAGGUUCCAGGUAAAUCCGGUACCUUAUUAACGCUGAGGUGUGAUGACGAGGCACUACGGUGCUGAAGUAACAAAUGCCCUGCUUCCAGGAAAAGCCUCUAAGCAUCAGGUAACACGAAAUCGUACCCCAAACCGACACAGGUGGUCAGGUAGAGAAUACCAAGGCGCUUGAGAGAACUCGGGUGAAGGAACUAGGCAAAAUGGUGCCGUAACUUCGGGAGAAGGCACGCUGAUAUGUAGGUGAAGUGAUUUACUCAUGGAGCUGAAAUCAGUCGAAGAUACCAGCUGGCUGCAACUGUUUAUUAAAAACACAGCACUGUGCAAACACGAAAGUGGACGUAUACGGUGUGACGCCUGCCCGGUGCCGGAAGGUUAAUUGAUGGGGUUAUCCGUAAGGAGAAGCUCUUGAUCGAAGCCCCGGUAAACGGCGGCCGUAACUAUAACGGUCCUAAGGUAGCGAAAUUCCUUGUCGGGUAAGUUCCGACCUGCACGAAUGGCGUAAUGAUGGCCAGGCUGUCUCCACCCGAGACUCAGUGAAAUUGAACUCGCUGUGAAGAUGCAGUGUACCCGCGGCAAGACGGAAAGACCCCGUGAACCUUUACUAUAGCUUGACACUGAACACUGGUCCUUGAUGUGUAGGAUAGGUGGGAGGCUUUGAAGUGUGGACGCCAGUCUGCAUGGAGCCAUCCUUGAAAUACCACCCUUUAAUGGCUGGUGUUCUAACGUAGACCCGU